rnacentral:lncRNA from 1 species
UACGGGAUUCAAUGUUGGAAUUAUUUUCCUAAUCUAUCCAACUAAACGACCCCUUAGUAGCAUCCAAAGAUAUAUAACCGGUCUUAAUCAAUCAAUUUCACAAAGAUAGAGAUUAGGUGACAUUUUUUUCCAGAAUAAACCCCACCCAAUCCUCCAAAAUUGUGUUAGGUCACAGAAACAAUUAACAGGCAGCAGAAAAAUACAAUGUAGCCGCCGGAAACAGAAACAGUCGCCGGAAAAUAAAAAGGUUGUCGGAAUGUGAUGAAACUUGGAGAGUAGAGUCGGAAUUAGUAGGCGAGCAAUCUGUCCUCAAGGAACUUCUCCAAAAAAUGAUCGGAAAAGGUCGUACUCG